AUUGAACGCUGGCGGCAGGCCUAACACAUGCAAGUCGAGCGGAGCGGCGGACGGGUGAGUAAUGCCUAGGAAUCUGCCUGGUAGUGGGGGAUAACGUCCGGAAACGGGCGCUAAUACCGCAUACUAUCAGAUGAGCCUAGGCCGGAUUGGCUAGUUGGUGGGGUAAAGGCCUACCAAGGCGACGGUCCGUAACUGGGCUGAGUGGAUGAUUGGUCACACGGGAACUGAGACACGGUCCAGACUCCUACGGGGGGCGGCGGUGGGAAAUGUGGGCCAAGGGGCGAAAGCCUGUUCCGGCCAUGCCGGGUGUGUGAAGAAGGUCUUCGGAUUGUAAAGCACUUUAAGUUGGGGGACGUUACCAACGGAGUAAGCACCGGCUAACUUCGUGCCAGCCGCCGCGGUAAAC
rnacentral:rRNA from 1 species